GAUGAAGAACGUAGCGAAAUGCGAUAAGUAAUGUGAAUUGCAGAAUUCAGUGAAUCAUCGAAUCUUUGAACGCACAUUGCGCCCUCUGGUAUUCCGGGGGGCAUGCCUGUUCGAGCGUCAUUAUAACCACUCAAGCUCUCGCUUGGUAUUGGGGUUCGCGGUUUCGCGGCCCCUAAAAUCAGUGGCGGUGCCUGUCGGCUCUACGCGUAGUAAUACUUCUCGCGAUUGAGUUCGAUAGGUCUACUUGCCAGUAACCCCCAAUUUUUACAGGUUGACCUCGGAUCAGGUAGGGAUACCCGCUGAACUUAAGCAUACAAUAAGCGGAGGA
rnacentral:misc_RNA from 1 species